rnacentral:rRNA from 1 species
AUUGAACGCUGGCGGCAUGCCUUACACAUGCAAGUCGAACGGCAGCACGGACUUCGGUCUGGUGGCGAGUGGCGAACGGGUGAGUAAAGUAUCGGAAUGUGCCUGGUAGUGGGGAUAACUAGUCGAAGAUUAGCUAAUACCGCAUACGACCUACGGGUGAAAGCAGGGGACCUUCGGGCCUUGUGCUAUCAGAGCGGCCGAUAUCUGAUUAGCUAGUUGGUGGGGUAAAGGCCCACCAAGGCGACGAUCAGUAGCUGGUCUGAGAGGACGACCAGCCACACUGGAACUGAGACACGGUCCAGACUCCUACGGGAGGCAGCAGUGGGGAAUUUUGGACAAUGGGGGGCAACCCUGAUCCAGCAAUGCCGCGUGAGUGAAGAAGGCCCUCGGGUUGUAAAGCUCUUUUGUUCAGGGAAGAAAAGGUUGUGGCUAAUAUCCACAGCUGAUGACGGUACCUGAAGAAUAAGCACCGGCUAACUACGUGCCAGCAGCCGCG